rnacentral:rRNA from 1 species
UCUAGAGCUAAUACAUGCGCCCAAACCCGACUUCUUGGAAGGGUUGUGUUUAUUAGUUACAAAACCAACCCAGGCUCUGCCUGGUUUUCUGGUGAUUCAUAAUAACCGAGCGAAUCGCAUGGCAUCAGCUGGCGAUGAAUCAUUCAAGUUUCUGACCUAUCAGCUUCCGACGGUAGGGUAUUGGCCUACCGUGGCAAUGACGGGUAAUUCCAGCUCCAAUAGCGUAUAUUAAAGUUGUUGCGGUUAAAAAGCUCGUAGUUGGAUUUCUGCCGAGGACGACCGGUCCGCCCUCUGGGUGAGUAUCUGGCUCGGCCUGGGCAUCUUCUUGGAGAACGUAACUGCACUUGGCUGUGUGGUGCGGUAUUCAGGACUUUUACUUUGAGGAAAUUAGAGUGUUUCAAGCAGGCACACGCCUUGAAUACAUUAGCAUGGAAUAAUAAGAUGGGACCUCGGUUCUAUUUUGUUGGUUUCUAGA